CAGAGGGUAGUUUAAAUAGAAUUUUAAUUUUGGGGAUUAAUGGUAAGAUGUAUCUUUCCUCUGA
rnacentral:tRNA from 1 species